rnacentral:rRNA from 1 species
AUCGAUGAAGAACGCAGCGAAAUGCGAUAAGUAAUGUGAAUUGCAGAAUUCAGUGAAUCAUCGAAUCUUUGAACGCACCUUGCGCUCCUUGGUAUUCCGAGGAGCAUGCCUGUUUGAGUGUCAUUAAUAUAUCAACCUUCUCUUGUUGAGUGGUUUGGAUGUGGGGGUUUGCUGGCCUUGUAAAGGGUUUCAGCUCCCCUGAAAUGCAUUAGCAGAACAACCUGUUCAUUGGUGUGAUAACUAUCUACGCUAUUGAAUGUGAAGGGCCGUUCAGCUUUCUAACAGUCCUUGAUUGGACAAUUUAUCAUUAAUGUGACCUCAAAUCAGGUAGGACUACCCGCUGAACUUAA